UAACGCUCUCAAUAUUGAUUUGUUUAGGGUAUAUACUUUCUUUUCCACCGCCACAACCCAAGGUGAGAGCAAACGUGGAGUUCAUCCCCAAAGCUGAAAGGGAACCGGUUUCAAGACUCAAUCUACUGCAAUCGGGAAACCCCCAAAUCUCUUCCUUCUCCGUCUCCAUUUCAAUGUAGAGUUCAUGCCACAGUGUCAAAUACCCAAGUUGGUUCCGGGUAGUGAAUAAUGUGAUUGUCUUCAUAAGAAAGAGUCCUUGCUCCUGCAGCUGACUCCUCUCCUACAACAAAUUUUCCCGGGGACCAAAAAGAAAAGACAUUGACAUCAUUUCCGACUUACAAACUCCAUGCAAUGCAGCGGAGUUAAGAUACGAUAUGUCCAAUUACAACAUGGAUUUCCAGUUGGAUGAUGAUGCCCUACCAUCGAUGCAUGAAAGUGUCCAAUUUGAUGAUAGUGAAACCCAAGAUGUUGGCCGUCUUUUUGUGAAUGAGCAAACAAUUCCUACAGAAAACAGAAAUAAUGCAGCCAAUGAGGGUAACAAAAAAAAAGGGAGAGGGAAAACUGUAAUUAAAUGGGGUCAGCGUGGAGUGCGAGAAAGAGUUAAGUGGGGAAAACAAGGAGUACCGGUGUCUCCAAGGGAAAAAUGUGCACAGUAUUCCCUUUUCAUUGGUAGUUUGGCGGCUGACCCUGGAUUGUAUCCUAUUGAUGUCAAGGAUUG